UUGGGGUAUAGCCAAGUGGAAAGGCACCGGUUUUUGGUAUCGGUAUCCCAGGUUCGAAUCCUGGUACCCCAGA
rnacentral:tRNA from 1 species